UACGGAGGGUGCGAGCGUUGUCCGGAAUCACUGGGCGUAAAGGGCGCAUAGGUGGCCUGUGGAAGUCUGCGGUGAAAGCCCGGCGCUCAACGCCGGGUCGGCCGUGGAUACUCUCGGGCUUGAGCUUACUAGAGGCAGAUGGAAUUCCGGGUGUAGCGGUGGAAUGCGUAGAGAUCCGGAAGAACACCGGUGGCGAAGGCGGUCUGCUGGGGUAAUGCUGACGCUGAGACGCGAAAGCGUGGGGAGCGAACAGG
rnacentral:rRNA from 1 species